GCGCUUCUGUGGUUUUACUGGUUGUUCAGCUGCACGUGCGUGCUGGAACAAUUACAAUUGGAAAUGUGAACUAGGUUUUUCUCUCCAGGGCAGUGAUAGUAUACGGUUGAAAUACUGCUCUAUAAAAAAAAGGGUAAAGAUCUAUAAUGCAACAGACUUAAGCAGUUCCAGUAUAUUGAUUUAUUAUUAAUAAUACCUUUACUUAGCCAAAUGAUUUGCUCCUGGUGUGAUUUGAUAAAUGUGUACACCUGGCUGCUGUGCUCCCUCCACAGCUGGUCUGAGUUUGAUUAUUCUGGAUAAUCGCCCUGUAGUUCUGCAAAAGUUUCUGGAGCUGGAAGUCUCGCCUCUGUGUCCUAUAAUACGGUCCAGGGUCUGCCUCCCUACUGCUCAUAAUUACUGCUGAAUGACCUUGAUUGAAUCCCAGGCCCUGGCCCUGGGGCCUCUCAAACCCACGGUGUGUCCACUCCACCUGCACUGCUCAUUUGCAUUUGUUCUUCCUCUUCUUCUAUUCCUCGGCAGAAGGUGUCAGUGUGUGUGUGCAGCAGAGAUGGAUUUUAUUGACAGCAACCCUGCUGGCCUGUCUGAGAACUAGGACUGGGAUUUUGUGAAAACUCCCUGUGAUGUGGCAGUAGUACGAAAUAUAUCAAUGGUAUUUUGAGUUGAAAUUUGAUUAAAAUACAGUUUUCCAAGUGACGGAACCAGAGUUGUCUUUGUAAGCUAGCUUCAUGUUUCUUACUGCUUUUAAAAUGUACAUGAAUAACCAAAAACAAAGUCGGUAAAGCAAUGGCAAAUCCUCUUUAAAAAUCUAUUUACAGGCUUGAGUGAUAUAUCUUUAAAUAAAACAAAUCAAUUCUGAAAAAAAAAACCCCAGCUUAAUCUCAUACUUUAGCAUUCAAGAGAGCAGCUAGUCAGUUGAUAAAUAAUUUUAAAAAAAUUAAAAAGAACACAUUUGUAGUAAUACAAAUGAAUAAAUACUUCAAAUAUAUAAUUAAAUAAAUAAAAUAACCUAAUACUUAUAAUUUUCACGUUGUCUAAAUACCAAUUAGGACAAACCUAUUUUUAUGUAUUUUAUAUAAACACCAAAUGCUAAUUACAUUUGAUCCACUCAUCUGCCAAAUAUUGAUCAUUUCUUUCAAAAAAAUGCAAGCUUAUUUCCCGCAGCUAAGCACUUCCUGCCCCCCAUGUCCGGGUCUCAUCCAGGUCAACAGCUUUUAACGUGUCCGUGAUGACCCUCCAGGCUAUGGCCUGCCUAGUAUUUCCCCUCUCCGACUGAUGGGACAGUCGUGGGCCCCUGCCGUGGAGCCAGGCAUGAAGCCCUUAAUGAGGGCUUAUUGUCACCAGUGGGUGGAUUCGCCCACUGGGGAGUAGGACAUGGGAGGGUAAUUUCCACUGAGAAGCUAACAGCCCCAGCUUUUGAGGCCUUACAGGUGAUUCCACACCAUUGUCUGCUGAUAGAGUUUAGCGGUGGGUGGGUGUCAGGGCUUGGCCCACAGGCCUGGCAGGCAAUUGGAGGGGAUGUGGCUUUGACAGAGAAAUACUAUACAUACAUUGUAGAAGCUCAAAGUUGGUUCAUGAAGCAAAGCGUUCAUAUUUAAUCAGCUUAGUCAUCCCUCUGCUUUAUGUUCCGGGCUUUUACACAUUUCUGUUUACGCAUUCUCUGUGUGCUGCACGGUCCUUGUGCCUCAGCAGCCUCUGGACGAAACAGGGUUUGACUGUUGGCUGAAAUAAGUCGUCUGAAACAUGCUUGUCCAAGUGUCUUGAGCCCACGCACAUCUGGUUUGCAGUAAAGAUCUGAGGUGGAAAGUAUGCAUCUGUAUCAGCGAGGUGCGGGUCGAGCAUGUACGGUUCACAACUUGCCUGUGAAGCACGCACAGUGUCACAUUGUUAACCUCGGGACCUUUAAUGGACGCCCCACUUUGAAGUUUGGACUUUUCACCUGCACAGUCUCUCAACCUCCUCCCACGCGUCCUUCCACCUCCGUGAGCAAAUCCUCUGCUCUGUUUUCCCUCUUUUUACCCAUCUGCCUCUGCGCCCUCACCCUCUUCCCUCCAACGCUGUGAAGAGACGCGGCAAAUUGAAAUCAUGUGUCACAUCUCGCCACUAAUUAUUGCCCUGCCGUAGCUUCAGCUGCAUCCAAAGAUGUGCUAAGCCUGACCGAGGUCAGGUCAUCCCAGGCUUUUAUUUCACUCCUGCAAAAAGAAAAUGCAUAAAACGACAUAAGAAAGUAAAACACCCCACAUCUUAUUUGCACUCUUGUAGUCAGCAGACGCUUUAAUCAACUCCUCCGACCUUUUUAUCGACUCCUCCAUCAGUGGAAAUAACUACAGCCUGAAAGAGAAGACACAGAGGUGGUCAGGCAGGAACUUAAACAGGAGGCAGGUGCCCGGGGGUGAGUGAGAAACAGAUGGGGGGGGGGGAUCCUGUCCUAACCCUAAGUAAAUCAAUAGCAGUUAAGACUGGAGUGCCAAUACAGGUUGUGCUCGAGGAGAAGGGAACUGAACCAGAACAGUCACCUUGGGGAGAGCAACUCCCGUAUCCCCCCACCCCCAACCCAAAAGAAUUACAUUAUCCUUAUCUCAGCAUCUCCCAUUAUUGGCCUUACAUGGCCGCUCUAAUGAACAAUCGAACCUUGAAUUACCACUCACGAGUUUGGAAGAGCGCGAGGGGUGGGGUGGGGUGACUGUCGGAGUGACGGGUGACCCAAUCUUUGCUGAUGACGCUGCAGUUUAUCUUGGUGGGCCACACAAUUGCAAAAAAACAGAAAAUGAAGUACGUUGGAGAGAAUGUUGGCUGUGGUCACUCCUCUAAUCGCAGCAUAUGGAGUUUUGUAGUUGUUGGCACUUUUGCAAGUUUGAUUUCAGUGUCUUUUCUUAAGGCCAGAAUCCUUCCACUCGCCCCUCCCUCGCCGUUCUCUCCUCCUCUGUGUUUUCCUCUCUCACUAUACUCCAGUAAACGGCUGUGGAUUAUUGUAAACGGCUGCUGAGGGUGGGCGUCUCCCCCGCUCUGUGACUUGCAGUGACUUGUAAUACAACUAUUCCCCCUAAGAUCUGCAUUAAACUUUAAUCCCCCCCUCUUUCCUGUUUCUCAAUAAUUCAUUAACCGCCCGCUAAUUGGCGCCAGAUAAAAGACUACUUCACCCAGCUAAGUGUUGGACCACGACAAAGGAGAAAAAGACCGAAAUAAAUCUAAAGAAAGUCAGUGAAGAUGUGUUUUUCUGAAGCUUUCUGGGAGUGAGCGUGCGGAGAGGAAUAAGUGUUAGUAGGUCAAACGGGGGGUGCCACACAUUUCAACAUGCGUUUACGACUUGUUUUGUUGGUGUGAAACACCGCUCCCGGUUUCACUGGGGUGAAAUCCACCUGAAUCACAGGUUUGCAUGAAUAAUGUAUGUACUCUGCAUUAUUUUUUUGAAGGUAUAUGUUGCUCGAGAAUGAAUGUGUCCGUUUGGCAAAUGAUCAGAGAAUAACCAGUGAGUAGGUCAUUUAGAUGUUUUUGAAUUCUAGUGGUUAAAGAACAUUGGUAGAGAGCGAGAGAGAGUUCAGAAUAUAAACCAUAUUGCCCUCCCGACCCUCUGUGUUUCUUUUUCUUCAGUCCUGUGUGUGUAAGUUUACGAGCUGAGAGCAACAGGAGCUGUGAACGGAGGUUUCAGCUGAUGUGGCAGAAUGGGAAAGGCCAGAGAAAGGACUCGACCAGAGGGUGCACUUCUUCUCCUUCUUGCGUUCUUUCUUACGUUUUUGUUUUCCCUGUGUCCCAAUAUCCUACCCCCCCUCUCUUUUUGCUUAUUUGCUUCCCUUCCUUUGUUCCUUUCCUUCCUUCCCAUUGGCAGAUCGACACAGGUAUGCAGCUGCAGCGUUGAAAAUAUAGACAUGUGAACAGACAGGUCUAUUCCGAAGGCACAUUCUCAACAGAUGUCUGCACACGGACACAGAAAUGAGCCUCGGGGGGCUCGACCUCCCCUCCCAGCUCUGUCCAACACGUGUGUAAAGGGUGUGUGGGCCUAAUGUAUCUCCUCUGCUGCAUGUGCAAGUGAGCAUUGAAAACACACAUUUGCUACUAGCAGACAGUAAACAGAGGAGGCCAGAUGUGCACGCACACGCACACACAUGCACACAGAUGAGGAAAUUGGCAGGCGUCACGGGCUGUUGUUCCACCCGGAAUUCAUUCAUUAUUUUAUCACUCGAUUAUAAGUUUAUUUGGCAGGGCCAGUGUGCAUUCAUCAACAUCAUAACAGCUAUAAAGCGGCGUUGUAAAUAUGCUGGGCUUGGCUAAAGAACUAAUUUACUUCCUCACUCCCCGGGGCUUUAGAAGUGACUUUGGGAUUUUGGUAUUGGUUUAAAGCGUUGAUUAUUACGGUGAAAAAGAUUAAAAGUGUGUGGCGGGUUUACACAGUUGGAAGGCGCACACAAGUGAGUCAUUUUAUUUUUUUUUAUUUUUGUCCCCGGGACUGCGUGCUCGCACGCAUAUGCGCACACAAUGCACACAUUCACAGCGGUGGUGGUUGUGAUUGUAAUCCAGGUCUCAGGUCUGAAGGGGUCACAUGUGUCCCAGCAUCACUGGGCAGAUUGCCCUGGGUGGCUGAACCCAGAGCCCCUUAGCAAAAAGCCAGCCAACACACACACAUUGGUGUCUCAUUAGAUUGCUUCACAGCACACCCUGCCUAAGCAGGAUCAUCCAAUCCUCCUGGCAGCAUUUGGACUGGGCCAGGUCAAUCUCUCCUCCCCCCCGGGUGACACAGAGAAGCCGACUGUUGUGGUGGGUCAGCCGGUUAAAAAAAAAAAAAAUAGUGUGUGCGGCCUUUGGUAGCUGCGGAGGUGCGUAACAUCGGUGCAACUUCUGGACCCAUGCUCAUCAUCCUCUCUUUCCUGUCUUGACUCGCCCUCUGGUCUUGGAGCCCAGUAUCAGGCCCACAGCUCUGGGGUUAGCCUCAUUUUGCAGCAGCUAUAGCGGUGUCGGCAUUCUUCCAGCUAAAUGGAAAUCGCAGUAGGAGAGAGUUGAGGCGGUUGUCAUUUUGUGUGUGUGUGUGUGUAUAAUUUGGUUUGCAACAGAGUAUGUGCUGGUAUGUGUUUGUGUGCCUGGAAUACUAAAACUGUGUGUAAAGAUUCCCAGGCCCUAGGCUGUUGUGUGUAUGUCAUGUUAACUUGCACUGAAAAACAAAGCCUUCCAACCCAAACAUAUUGAGCCUGCAAUAGAGUAAAAAAAAAAAAAUCUUAUUUUCUCAAAACAAAUGAACAAACAUGCCAGUGUAAUAAGAUUAUUUCCCUCCGUUUCCACAGCGAGUCAACACGUGCCAAAAUAUUUGCAGAUAUUUUCCAAUGUCCAAAAAAUAAAACACUUAUAGCGGAGAACUAAAUCCAACAAGUGAGAAGUGAAAAAUGAGAAUUUUCACUCUUUGUGUGUGAGCCCCUGAAGCUGAUGUCCAAUUGACGUGUUCUUUGCGCAGCACACACAACCGAGGACAACUUCAACAUGCGAAACCCAAGUCAAACAUUUAGAAACAGUUCCAGAAACAGUCGUUGCCUGCUGUCACUUAAGACCACGGUGAACGAUGAUUUUAAUUCUUUAUUCGUCUCUUACUGUCUGCCAGUGGACGUCAGCGCACAGCUUCGACUGGACACGGUCCAAGCUAAAUGUGAAAUACGUAGCGAGUUCUCGCAAGAGAGACAAAUGAAGGGCCCUGCUGAUGGACAGCUGCGUCCUGUCACGGCUGAAGUUCUGGCAAACACCUUUGACGGUUGGGAGUGAGAGAAAAGGUGUGUGUUGUCAAAGUGCGAUGAAGAGAAGAUAGAGAGUAAAAGGAGGAAGAGGGCUCAGAGAAGAAAAACAAAACAAAGAAAAGAAAGCCGGUGUGGCAAAAAGAGUUAAAAGAGAGAUGGAUGGUUUCAGGAUCGGGGGCCGGGCUUUGACAGUGGUACUGGCAAAAGUUGAUGCGGCGCAGUCACGGUGAGUGACUGAUGAGCUGUAGGUCACGACCAUGACGAGCUGCUUCCUGCUCACAUACAACAGAGCCGGCCCUCAUUCCUCAUUACUGACAUGUCCCAUAAUAUUUAUCACGCCGAGGUCCGACACCAAACCUGGUAAGUUCUUAAGGAAUUCACUGAGUUUUAUUUUCGAGGCAGAAGGAGUUCUUUGAAUGACUCAAAGGGAUUAGGAGACUGGCAGCUGUUUCCUCUUCUAUUUAUUUACUGCAUUUAAUAAAAAAAAAUACUGCACAAAAAUCUGAGACCCAGUAUGCAGACCCCACAAAGGCAGAAAUGAUGCCAAGAGAGAGCAGAGCAUUGUUUUGAUUGAUGUAGAUUGCCAAUAGCUAAAUCGAUGCCUUUAAAUAAAAGUUCCACUCGGUUGCUGUGGAGGAACUGUCUUUAGCCUCCAGGAAGGUUUAUAAUUUGUUUUUUUCUUUUCCUCUGAACGCAUCUUUUGUCCUACUCCACUGUCCAUUCUUUUAUUUCCUGCAUUAAAAUGAUGUGAAAAGCGAGGAAAAUAGAAUACAGCCACUGUGGAGGAAUGUAUGGUGUUAUGUUUAUUUUGUUACCGUUUGUUAGCUCGGCCCUCGCACAUUCUUAACAAUUGAUAAUGUUAUUAUACGCUGUAGAUAAGCUGUUAAAUUCAAUCUGCAGUGGAUGUCAUUUAGAGACAGACUCCGUGCUGGAACAUGUGACAGGAAUACCAUUAGAAAAGUUUCAUUAGCGGCUCAUGUGGAUUAACAUUUGAAUAAUUUUGUGUUGUUAACUCUAAUUUACUAAUGUAUUGGAUUGUACCAGUGGUGUUCAACCUGUGGCUCCUGGGCAACAUUUGGUUCAUUGGCUCCAAAUUAGCACCAGAUUAACCAGAUCAGUGUAUCAAAUUAAACGGUACGAUAAAUUAUAAAAUCACAAAAAUCAAGAUUUACCCAGGUUUAUUUUUUUGUUGCUUGCUAAUGGCUGAUUUUUUUUUUUUUUUUAACCUCAGUUCACUGUUGGGGAUGUAGUGAGUGGAGCAUGCUGUGUAUUGCAUACUAACUCUAUAUGAAUAUUGUUGGCGUAUUUUCCUGUGGCCCAACAACAAACUGUCAACACUGCUUUACUUCCAUCGUUUGAAUGGUUGAAGUGUUUUUGCCUGACUUAUGCGAGUUUUAUUGGUUGGUGAAAUAGAGCUACAGACCCCUGGUUUAGACCACGCUGUUUCUCGCUCUGCUAAACUGACUUCUGGUCUGUCAAGAGAUUCCAAUGAUAACUGUUUUCUCUUUGAUGGAUUUUCUCCUCUAUGAUUGCCGGUCAGUCUCUCCUCUUUGAUUCCGACUCCAAACCCUCACAGGGAUGAUUUCCCUGUAUUCCAUGCCACAUAGUAGGAAUUAAACCUCCGUUAAGUCCCGACAGAAAUAGCAAAAAUACAUCGUCAAAACAACAAUUUUAGACUUAGAAAUGCCAGACUCCCAGCCAGUAGCUGGGCUUUUUGGGUAGAUUUUCUUUAAAAAAAAA